AGUGAACGCUGGCGGUAGGCCUAACACAUGCAAGUCGAACGGCAGCACAGUAAGAGCUUGCUCUUACGGGUGGCGAGUGGCGGACGGGUGAGGAAUACAUCGGAAUCUACUUUUUCGUGGGGGAUAACGUAGGGAAACUUACGCUAGUACCGCAUACGACCUACGGGUGAAAGCAGGGGAUCUUCGGACCUUGCGCGAUUGAAUGAGCCGAUGUCGGAUUAGCUAGUUGGCGGGGUAAAGGCCCACCAAGGCGACGAUCCGUAGCUGGUCUGAGAGGAUGAUCAGCCACACUGGAACUGAGACACGGUCCAGACUCCUACGGGAGGCAGCAGUGGGGAAUAUUGGACAAUGGGCGCAAGCCUGAUCCAGCCAUACCGCGUGGGUGAAGAAGGCCUUCGGGUUGUAAAGCCCUUUUGUUGGGAAAGAAAAGCAGCAGGUUAAUACCCCGCUGUUCUGACGGUACCCAAAGAACAAGCACCGGCUAACUUCGUG
rnacentral:rRNA from 1 species